rnacentral:lncRNA from 1 species
GCUGACAGUGUUAUCACAAGACCGUCCUUCUCCCGCACUGAGCUCCCCCAGCCCUUCGGAAACGGGAGAGUCGCACUUGAGGGGUCAGGAGCAUCCUGGGGCAGAGAAUGGCUCCACCAGACCAUGCAGGCAAAUCUACACUUGACAUGGAGUGGGGUCCAGUUUAGAGCUCUCAUUGGUUCAAAAAAUAUUAAUUGAGCUGUGCUCUAUGCCACCCUCUGCGUGGGUGGAAGAGACAUGAGCACCUCAGCGAGGACGGCUGAUCUCCGGAGAUUUGCUUCCCGGGGGAAAGACAGACAGCACCCAGUCAGCAAUGUGCAGGAUCCUCUCAGAUGGUGACACUGAGCUCCGAGAAGAACACAAAGUAAGACAAUGGGAUGGAGAUCAGGAAGCCAGCCGGCAGGAAACCUGGGCCAGCCCUUCCACCAACCAGGGCUCCGCUGUGAGCAGGGCAGCGAUUGGACUCCAAACCUCUCCCACCUCUCUCCUCAUGGUCUGUGUACUCUUGCGCCUAUAAAGGAUCUUGGUAAUGGAUUCCAAAAGAAAUCUUACAACACACUGCAAAUCAGCAUCAGCUUGUGAAACUGGGGCCGGUCAUGAGGAUGUUGAUUGCUUAAAAAACAGUGAUCACCACUGUAGUAAGAACAUGUCGCCCUACAACAGCAUUCGCUAGGCCCCUGAUUGCUCCUGGGGUUAGCCGGGGCCAUGCCACUAGACAGCUCCCCCUCCAGUAUCUGUGAGCACGGAUCACAGAGUUAGACCAUCUGUGAGCAAGAGAGGGAAAGAGCCCGUGUGACCUGCACGGAUAGGAAGAUGCACACUCCUGAGGGUAACUCGUCUCUGGUUGGCAGGGUGGAUCUCUCCAGGAACAAGCAGAGAGGGUGUGCUGCUUGCCUGGGGAGAAGGUCCUACUAGUUCCGAUGGGAACGAAGUGAAAUAAACUAACUCCUCUCCAAAUGGGGAUAAGUUGC